CUCUGACUCCUACCUGUGAUAUCGGACCUGCUCAACUACGUCUUUCAUCUUCUGCCCCGUGACUCCGGACAAUCAGCGAGUGUGCUCUGGAACCCACCCCGCCAUCUCAAUGCCACGGGGCAAGUCUUUUAUCGUUCUGAGGCAGCCAAGCGGCGUCUGGCAGAUCGGCGACAGGUUGACGUGGAACCGCAGCAGCCUGCCAAUACCAGUUACACAGCACGGCACCGGGCAGCGCCAUGCUGUGUGACGUUGGACGCUUGUGCUGCCAUGCGAAUCCUCUGACAAGAAGGCAAAAAGUCGCCGUAUGCAUUACAUACAGAAGCUGAAAGCACACCAUGAUAUUUGUGAGAAGCGCUAUGAGGCAGCGCAGGCAGGAGAGGAAGAGGAGAGGAAGAGGAGCGUGGUUCUCCAUCAUCAGAAGGAUACAGCAGUGAGUCAUGCUACACACUUGAGACAGAGGAUGUUGGUAUGAUGCCAUGUGAAGCCCUUUGAGACCAACUGUUUGAUGCUUGGUAAGUAUCUGACAAACCGAGAGCAGCUCAUCAGACCAUUGUGUGACGGUUAUGGAGUUAAAAGAAAAAGAUGAUGGUAGACGACUGUAUAACAAAAGUUUUUAUUGUGUAUUUUGUUCAAAACCAUUGAGGAAAGUGGCUGGUCAUUUAGAGGCCAAACAUAAAGACAAACCAGACGUGGCUAGAGCCGUGGCAUCUCCUCAAGGCUCUAAAGAGCCAAGAAUUCAGCUGGCUCUAUUAAGAAAUAAGGGGAACCGCAUCCACAAUAAUGAUGUCAUCGAAAGGGGAAAAGGAACCGUGAUACCCCGUCAGCAACCAAAGCUUUCAGUUCA